UUAAAAAGCUCGUAGUCGAAUUUUUAAGGGAAUCAAUUUUAUGUGGUCUUAAUGAACUGCAAAGGAAGAUGAUUUAUCUUAUUUUAUGCUUUUGCACCAUUGGAAUUCGUUUUCUGAUAGUGGAGUAAGUUUGUGUUUACUUUGAGAAAAUUAGAGUGUUCAAAGCAGUCUUACGGCUUUAUAUUAAAGCAUGGAAUGAUAAAUAAUGACAUCGGUAAAUUUUUGUUGGUUUGAGAGACUGAUGUAAUGAUUUAUAGAGUUAGUCGGAGGUAUUAGUAUUUUAUCGUUAGAAGUGAAAUUCUGGGAUCGACAAAAGACUAACAACUGCAAAAGCAUUUACCUAGAAUUUGCUCCUUGAUCAAGAACGUAAGUUGGGGGAUCGAAGACGAUCAGAUACCGUCGUAGUCUCAACUUUAAACUAUAUCAGCUAGGGGUUGGCAAAUGUUUAUAUGACUUUGUUAGAACCUUAAGAGAAAUCAAAGCGUUUGGGUUCCGGGGGGAGUAUGGUCGCAAGGCUGAAACUUAAAGGAAUUGACGGAAGGGCACCACAAGAUGUGGAUCCUGUGGCUUAAUUUGACUCAACACUGGGAAACUCACCAGGUCAGAC
rnacentral:rRNA from 1 species